AGACAGCCAGGAUGUUGGCUUAGAAGCAGCCAUCAUUUAAAGAAAGCGUAAUAGCUCACUGGUCGAGUCGGCCUGCGCGGAAGAUGUAACGGGGCUAAACCAUGCACCGAAGCUGCGGCAGCGACGCUGAUGCGUUGUUGGGUAGGGGAGCGUUCUGUAAGCCUGCGAAGGUGGCCUGUGAGGGUUGCUGGAGGUAUCAGAAGUGCGAAUGCUGACAUAAGUAACGAUAAAGCGGGUGAAAAGCCCGCUCGCCGGAAGACCAAGGGUUCCUGUCCAACGUUAAUCGGGGCAGGGUGAGUCGACCCCUAAGGCGAGGCCGAAAGGCGUAGUCGAUGGGAAACGGGUUAAUAUUCCCGUACUUGGUGUUACUGCGAAGGGGGGACGGAGAAGGCUAUGUUGGCCGGGCGACGGUUGUCCCGGUUUAAGCGUGUAGGUGUGUGUUCCAGGUAAAUCCGGUUCACUUUAACACUGAGGCGUGAUGACGAGGCACUACGGUGCUGAAGCAACAAAUGCCCUGCUUCCAGGAAAAGCCUCUAAGCAUCAGGUAACAUCAAAUCGUACCCCAAACCGACACAGGUGGUCAGGUAGAGAAUACCAAGGCGCUUGAGAGAACUCGGGUGAAGGAACUAGGCAAAAUGGUGCCGUAACUUCGGGAGAAGGCACGCUGACACGUAGGUGAAGUGAUUUACUCAUGGAGCUGAAGUCAGUCGAAGAUACCAGCUGGCUGCAACUGUUUAUUAAAAACACAGCACUGUGCAAACACGAAAGUGGACGUAUACGGUGUGACGCCUGCCCGGUGCCGGAAGGUUAAUUGAUGGGGUCAGCGCAAGCGAAGCUCCUGAUCGAAGCCCCGGUAAACGGCGGCCGUAACUAUAACGGUCCUAAGGUAGCGAAAUUCCUUGUCGGGUAAGUUCCGACCUGCACGAAUGGCGUAAUGAUGGCCAGGCUGUCUCCACCCGAGACUCAGUGAAAUUGAACUCGCUGUGAAGAUGCAGUGUACCCGCGGCAAGACGGAAAGACCCCGUGAACCUUUACUAUAGCUUGACACUGAACAUUGAGCCUUGAUGUGUAGGAUAGGUGGGAGGCUUUGAAGUGUGGACGCCAGUCUGCAUGGAGCCGACCUUGAAAUACCACCCUUUAAUGUUUGAUGUUCUAACGUGG
rnacentral:rRNA from 1 species